AAAUAUACUAUCCAAUGGCAUAAUCCACCAACCUGUGUUUUUGGAUACAGCACCAUUCCUUGAGCAUUUACAAUGUGUGUAUAAAAUCAGAUAAUUAGUUUAUUCCAACUUUAUGCACACACUUUCAGUAUAUACACACAAUUUUGACUUUUUGCCAUUCUUUAGUGGUGGUUUGGAUAUGUAACAGAUGUAAUGGAUAUAACUUCUAUUAUGAUUUUAAUUUUUUAACCAUUUACCCAAGCACCUUUUUCAGAAAUAGUAAUGUCAUAUUUUGAUCUGUAGGGGGAGCAGUGAAGCUAUAAUCUGAGUAUGGGCCCUGAGGAGCUGCCUGAUUUUAUGGACACGGUAUGAUUUUGUACAUAUGUGUUUCUGUCUGAGUAAAGAACCAUAUGUGUACCAAUUAUGUGCCAAUAAUUUAGGAUUAUCUGUUUGUUCUGACUCUCACUCAUUACAUCCAGAUGUCGAGCACUCCUCCUCUCUCUCCUCGUCCUGUUGGUUCCUCAUUCUCACCUCCUUACUGCUCUCCACCGGUUGUGACCUUACGGCCCCCUGCCACUCGUCACCUGACUCAGCUCGACCCCUGGAGGAGACACAGCUGGGAACCUGGAGCUGUGGCACAGGGAUAUCCACCCAAUGACACACGCAGUGUGAGUCUUGAAGAUCUGGAUCUGGAUGAGAUUUCCUUAGUGAUAAACGGUGCAUUGAGGUCAAAAAGAGCUCGAGAAGCCCGCAGGUCUGUCACUCAAGCUUCCCUGACGUCACUUACCGAAGAGGAAGUUGGAGCAGAGCAUCAGGAACAUCAUCAAUCAGCGCUGGAGGUUAGAACAUGCACACAGAGCUUCUGUGAGCUGCAUUAUUAUGUACUGUAUACUUACAGUUAGUAGCCACCUUC
rnacentral:lncRNA from 12 species